rnacentral:misc_RNA from 1 species
AACGCACAUUGCGCCCUAUGGUAUUCCGUAGGGCAUGCCUGUUCGAGCGUCAUUUACAACCUCAAGCUCAGCUUGGUGAUGGGUGACUGUGGCCCCCCGUGGGCCACUCGCCUCAAAGUCAUUGGCGGCCGGUACGUAGGCUUCGAGCGCAGCACAUUUGCGUCCUCGUGGCUCUCCGAUCGGCUCCCAGAAGCUAUUUCUCAUGUUUGACCUCGAAUCAGGUAGGGAUACCCGCUGAACUUAA